CAGUCGAACGAAGUAGCAAUACUUAGUGGCAGACGGGUGAGUAACAUGUAGGUAUCUGCCCUUUGGCCUGGAAUAACACGAGGAAACUUGUGCUAAUACCGGAUAAGUCUUAACGGAGAAAGCUUUAUGCACCAUUGGAUGAGCCUGCACUUGAUUAGUUUGUUGGUGGGGUAAUGGCCUACCAAGACUGUGAUCAAUAGCUGAUUUGAGAGGAUGAUCAGCCACAUUGGGACUGAGACACGGCCCAAACUCCUACGGGAGGCAGCAGUGGGGAAUCUUGCACAAUGGAGGAAACUCUGAUGCAGCGAUGCCGCGUGAGUGAAGAGGGCCCUUGGGUUGUAAAGCUCUUUCGUCGGGGAAGAAAAUGACUGUACCCGAAUAAGAAGGUCCGGCUAACUUCGUGCCAGCAGCCGCGGUAAUACGAAGGGACCUAGCGUAGUUCGGAAUUACUGGGCUUAAAGAGUUCGUAGGUGGUUGAAAAAGUUGGUGGUGAAAUCCCAGAGCUUAACUCUGGAACUGCCAUCAAAACUUUUCAGCUAGAGUAUGAUAGAGGAAAGCAGAAUUUCUAGUGUAGAGGUGAAAUUCGUAGAUAUUAGAAAGAAUACUAAUUGCGAAGGCAGCUUUCUGGAUCAUUACUGACACUGAGGAACGAAAGCAUGGGUAGCGAAGAGGAUUAGAUACCCUCGUAGUCCAUGCCGUAAACGAUGUGUGUUAGACGUUGGAAAUUUAUUUUC
rnacentral:rRNA from 1 species